rnacentral:piRNA from 1 species
UGGGCAGAAGUGCAACUGUCACAAAAUGA